UUAUCAGUCAUGCAUAGCAUAUCAAUAAGCGGAGGAAAAGAAACUAACAAGGAUUCCCCUAGUAACGGCGAGUGAAGCGGGAAGAGCUCAAAUUUGAAAUCUUAAAAGGUUUUCCUUUUACGAAUUGUAGUUUAAAGAAGUGUUUUCUGUUGAAAUUUUAGUAAAAGUUCUUUGGAAUAGGACAUCAUAGAGGGUGAGAAUCCCGUAUUUGACUAGAAUUUUUCAACUUUGUGAUACACUUUCAAAGAGUCGGAUUGUUUGGGAAUGCAGUCCAAAAUGGGUGGUAAAUUUCAUCUAAAGCUAAAUAUUGGCGAGAGACCGAUAGCGAACAAGUACCGUGAGGGAAAGAUGAAAAGAACUUUGAAAAGAGAGUUAAAUAGUACGUGAAAUUGUCAAAAGGGAAGCGUUUGGCACCAGUGUUGUUUUUCUAAAAAUCAAUUUAAAAUUUGCUUAUGCUAAGUUUUUUAGACUUAAUCGGCUAAUAAUUUAGUUUUUUGUAAUUUUUGAAUGCACCUUUUCGGUUAACAAGUCAACAUCAAUUUCUUUUGUUGUAAAAGAAUAUAGAGGAAGGUGGCUUGGAUCGUUUCGAGAAAGUGUUUAUAGCCCUGUACUUCUGCAAUCGGAGAGAUUGAGGUCUGCAGCAUAGAUCCUUCGGGGUUAGAUACACUUGUGCUAAGUUAUAGCUUUCCAUAGACAACUUGUUGAUUAUGUUAAGUCUUGUAGCUUACUCGCUUGUGCUAUUUUACCUACGCUUAGGAUGUUGACGCAUGAGAUAUACGC
rnacentral:rRNA from 1 species